ACCAGUAUGGAACCCCCACCUGACAAAGCAUGUUAAAAAAAUGAAGAAAGUAAAGAAGUAUGAAGCAAUAUUAGUUCCAGAGCUAAAGAAUAUGAACUAUGAGAAGCAGCUAAAGGAAUUGAAUGUAAUGGCCCUGGAGGACAGAAGGACCAGGGAAAGAAUAUGGUAACAACAUACAAAAUACUCAGAAAUUGAUAGGGCAGACAGGAACAGGUUGUUUGAGAGGUAACAAAGAGGUACUCAGUGGCACAUCUGGAAGCUAAAACACAUGACUCAUAGGGAUGUUAAGAUGUAUUUUUCCAGUCUCAGGAUGGCUGGGAAGUGGAAUGACCUUGAUGAAGUGGUGGAGGCAGACUUCAUAUAUAGUUUUAAGAAUAAGUACAGUAGGGCCCACGAAGCUGAGAGUGAAUCUGGCAAACGGCAAGUUCAGAAGUGGAGCCAGGUGCUAAGACUCGACCCCUGCAAUCACAUGUGAAAAGGUGAGUACUCAAAAAUAUUAAGACCUUUAGACUCCUUGACCCCAUGUCCUAUGCCUAGAUGCUGGUGAAGAACUCUUGGUCCAAAGAACUGGAGCUACUCUCCCUUUUCUUGGACCAAACUGAAAGACUUCCCAUUUCCAAGGUGCUUUGACCUCUACCCCUCAAGGGAGGUUACUUGAUGCUGGUGAGGAGGUCUCUUGAUCUAAGGAAUUGGACCUGCCCUUCCCUUCCUUGAAUCAAACCAGAGUGCCUCCCAAUUCACUAAGCACUGUAUGACCCUGUGGGUUUUAGCACUCCCCAUAAAUGUUUUAAUAUUAUAAUCCCUAUGGGUUUAGCACUUCCUUAUGAAUAUAAUGAUAAUAAUAAUCCUCUUGUUAGAACCAUUACUAUUUUCCAACUAGUAGGUACUGACCUAUUAAAUGUCACAGUCCUAUUAGAUGUCGCAGAUAUCGCAGAAUGUUACAUCGACGACGGAAUUCACCCUGUCUGCAGACUGAGUAGCAACAUACAUGUGGUUGAAGGGAGGCAAGCAGCACCAGAUGACCCACUGAUGUAUUGGAAACUUAAGAAUGUGGAUUUAAGAAAUUUUGCUUCCAGAAAGCUUGGCAUAAAAACCAGGAGUUUUGAAAUCUGAAUUUGUGGUGUAAAAAAUAUUACUGCAACAAAGAGGGAAAUUUUCAAAAGGAAACUGAAACACUUCACUACAUGUGCAUGAUCAGCCAGUUACCAGCGGCAACCUGGUUGUUUACCAUAGUCAACAAGGAAUUUUGGCCUUAGACCAAGCCACAGUUGUAGAAGAACCUUUGGAACCAAUCGCUUGCUACAACUGAGACUGAUGUGGAUGCACCCAGCAGAGCUACUGAAAUGCUUCACAAAUAACCUGCACUUGGGAGAAGAAGCUUGUGACGUUUGAUCUUUGAUCACUGUCAAGUCACAACCAGGAGAGAAAAAACAA